AUAUAGGCAAUGAGAAAAAGAGUAGUCUAUGAAGCUUGGUUUAGAGAGGUUGCGGGUGGUGUAAGCAAUCCCAGCAGUAGAUGAACAUGGUUUUUGAGCCUUUUAGUCGAUAGGUAGGCUAAAACGUUAAUCCGCGUUAAGGAUAUUGAGGGCUGAGCAAUCAGAACUAAGGUGGUACCGCGAUUAAUAUGUCGUCCUUAGA
rnacentral:ncRNA from 1 species